rnacentral:rRNA from 1 species
GGGGGAGUAACAUCCGGAAACGGGUGCUAAUACCGGCAUAGUUUUCUUGAUCGCAUGAUUGAGAAAGGAAAGACAGCCUUUGUGCUGUCGCUUAUGGAUGGACCCGCGGCGUAUUAGUUAGUUGGUGAGGUAACGGCUCACCAAGACGAUGAUACGUAGCCGACCUGAGAGGGUGAUCGGCCACAUUGGGACUGAGACACGGCCCAAACUCCUACGGGAGGCAGCAGUAGGGAAUCUUCCGCAAUGGACGAAAGUCUGGACGGAGCAACGCCGCGUGAGUGAAGAAAAGGUUUUCGGAUCGUAAAACUCUGUUGUCAGAGAAGAACAAGUUGGAGAGUAACUGCUCCAGCCUUGACGGUAUCUGACCAGAAAGCCACGGCUAACUACGUGCCAGCCGCAGC